CUCAAAACCUAGCCGCGCACACUCGUAUGUUCCCUCAACCCACACCCUCCCCAUAAAACAUUUUACCAUUUUAGUACAGGUGAUCAAAAAAUUUCUACGCGCUUCAGAAAAAGUACCGUAAGGGAAAAAUGAAAUAAUAAUGAAAUAAUCCUCAAGCCCCUAAUAGCAGAGACAACCCCUCGUACCUUUUGCAUCAUGGUCUAGCUAGUCUACCCAAGCAAAAUGAAAAUUUAAGUUUGACACCCCGAAACUAAGCGAGCUACUUCGAAACAGCCCUAAGAGCCCACCCGUCUCUGUUGCAAAAGAGUGGGGAGAUUUCCAAGUAGCGGUGAUAAGCCUACCGAGCUUAGAUAUAGCUGGUUGUUCAGGAAAAGAGUUUUAGCUCUACCUUAAGCCUUAAUAUUACAUUUAACAAUUCCUCAAGCUUAAGAGCUAUUCAAAUAAGGCACAACUUAUUUGAAAUAGGAUACAACCUCCGCCACUGGGUAAACAAGAAUAACCUGUAAAAAGUGGGCCUAAAAGCAGCCACCUUUAAAAAAGCGUUAAAGCUUAUUACACCUUAUACUUCUUAAUUUCAUUAAUUAAAGUCAUCCCCUAAUUAGUACUGAACUAUUUUAUAAUAUAUAAAAGCUAUUAUGCUAGAACUAGUAACAAGAAAUUUGCCUUUCUCCCAAUGUAAGCAUAAACCCAAACAGACCCUACGGGUAAUUAACGUGUAUGCAACACUCAUAGUAACUCACACCAGAAAACCCUAUGAACCCCAACGUUAACCUUACACUAGAGCAUUACAGGAAAGAUUAAAAGAGAAAGAAGGAACUCGGCAAACCCUAGCCCCGCCUGUUUACCAAAAACAUCGCCUCUUGACCAAAUACAAGAGGUCCAGCCUGCCCAGUGACAAAGUUUAACGGCCGCGGUAUCCUAACCGUGCGAAGGUAGCAUAAUCACUUGUUCUUUAAAUAGGGACUAGUAUCAACGGCAUCACGAGGGCUAUUCUGUCUCCUUUCUCUAAUCAGUGAAACUGAUCUCCCCGUGAAGAAGCGUGGAUGAACCUAUAAGACGAGAAGACCCCAUGGAGCUUUAAACCUAACACACCUCUAUGUUAUUUACACCAACUUACCUUAAGACUCCUGUGUUCCAGUUUUAGGUUGGGGUGACCGCGGAGUACAACUUAACCUCCACGACAAACGGAUUAAUACCCUUAUCUGUGAGUCACAACUCUAAGAAUUACUAAACUAAUGUUUAAUGACCCAAUAAUUUGAUCAACGAACCAAGUUACCCUGGGGAUAACAGCGCAAUCUACUUCGAGAGCCCCUAUCGACAAGUAGGUUUACGACCUCGAUGUUGGAUCAGGGUGUCCCAGUGGUGUAACCGCUACUAAAGGUUCGUUUGUUCAACGAUUAAAACCCUAC
rnacentral:rRNA from 1 species